UUCAGAUUGCAGUCUGCAACUCGACUGCAUGAAGUCGGAAUCGCUAGUAAUCGCGGAUCAGCAUGCCGCGGUGAAUACGUUCCCGGGCCUUGUACACACCGCCCGUCACACCAUGGGAUCCGGUAAUACCCGAAGUCAGUAGUCCAACCUCGUGAGGACGCUGCCGAAGGUAGGAUUGGCGACUGGGGUGAAGUCGUAACAAGGUACC
rnacentral:rRNA from 1 species